AGUGAACGCUGGCGGUAGGCCUAACACAUGCAAGUCGAACGGCAGCACAGGAGAGCUUGCUCUCUGGGUGGCGAGUGGCGGACGGGUGAGGAAUACAUCGGAAUCUACUCUGUCGUGGGGGAUAACGUAGGGAAACUUACGCUAAUACCGCAUACGACCUACGAGUGAAAGCAGGGGACCUUCGGGCCUUGCGCGAUUGAAUGAGCCGAUGUCGGAUUAGCUAGUUGGCGGGGUAAAGGCCCACCAAGACGACGAUCCGUAGCUGGUCUGAUAGGAGGAUCAGCCACACUGGAACUGAGGCACGGGCCAGACUCCUACGGGAGGCAGCAGGGGGGAAUAUUGGACAAUGGGCGCAAGCCUGAUUCAGCCAUACCGCGUGGGUGAAGAAGGCCUUCGGGUUGUAAAGCCCUUUUGUUGGGAAAGAAAUCCAUCUGGUUAAUACCCGGGUGGGAUGACGGUACCCAAAGAAUAAGCACCGGCUAACUUCGUGCCAGCCGCCGCAGUAA
rnacentral:rRNA from 1 species